UUUCAAUGCUUGUGUGCAUGUUUUGUGCAGGAGAUGAUGAGUAAAAGUAAAGUUUGUGCGAAUGUGUUCUGUGGAGCUGGGAGAGAAUGUGCAAUGACAGAGAAAGGAGAACCCACCUGCCUGUGCAUAGAGAGUGUGCCUUUGAGGAUGAGAUGUUUGAGGAUGGUGCUGAGACUCAGGUGGAAUGUAACCGCUGCGUUUGUCCUGUGGAAACUGGGUCUGCACUGCUGUAAACUGUGAUGGAUCAAAUAAGUUACCUGCUCUUGAAGAAAUGGAGGGAAAUAUCAGGAGAUGACAGAAGAGGAAUGGAUGCAGCGACUGGCCAAACUCAAUAAACUUCAGG